GCCUCCAUAGCUCAGGGGACAGAGCAGCUCUCUUCUAAAGAGAUGGCCCCAGGUUCAAAUCCUGGUGGAGGCG
rnacentral:tRNA from 1 species